rnacentral:lncRNA from 1 species
GAAGAGAAUGCUGAAGAGAAUACUGCCUGAAGGGAGAAAGCCAUUCUGAAGUCUGUGUUGGCAAAAGAAAGAAGCAACCUUGACAUUGUUCUUCUCAACAAUGAAUGACUUCGGAAGGAUCUCGACAAGGUCAAAAAAGAGUUGGAGAUGAUCAAGGCCACACAUCGGGUCAUCACAGAUAUAAAUGUCGACCUGCUUUUGAAGAAUGAAAUUUUGACGAAGAAGAAUGAAGAUCUAGCCGAGUCUAAUCAGAGCCUGGCGAAGCAAAAUAACAAUAUCUACGCUAAAGAGGUAAGAUAUAUAGCACUUCAUCAAAAGCUUGAAGAGGAACUCCGAUAACUUCGGGCCCUUAGAAACUUGGAUCUGCCACUGACCGAAGAUAUUUGUAAGGAGAUCCAAGCAGAAUACAGAAAACCCGCCGAGCUGAACGAUGAGAUCGUCCAUAUAUAUGCCAAAUGAUAUGAAAUCUGCCGAAGUAAAGGCAAAAAAAAGCUCAGGCCAAGGUAGA